rnacentral:rRNA from 1 species
AGCUAAUAGAUACCCCGGUAGUCCACGCCGUAAACGAUGGCCACUCGGCCUUUGGUGGCGAAAACCUCCGUCGCUGGGGGCCUUAGCUAAACGCGGGAAGUGGCCCGCCUGGGAACUACGAGCGCAAGCUUAAAACUCAAAGGAAUUGACGGGGGCCCGCACAAGCAGCGGAGCGUGUGGUUUAAUUCGACGCGACGCGCAGAACCUUACCCAGGUUUGACAUGGCACUGCAGGCGGCUGAAAGGCCGUCGCCUUCGAGGGUGUGCCACAGAUGCUGCAUGGCUGUCGUCAGCUCGUGCCGUGAGAUGUUGGGUUAAGUCCCGCAACGAGCGCAACCCCGUACGGUCAGUUAUAUGUGUCUGGCCGGACUGCCCCUUUGGGGUAGGAAGGCGGGGAUGACGUCAAGUCCGCAUGGCUCUUACGCCUGGGGCGACACACA